rnacentral:tRNA from 1 species
AGGGGUGUAGCUCGGUGGUAGAGUGCUUUCUUAGCAUGUGUGAGGUCCUGGGUUGGAGCCUCAGCACCACAG